rnacentral:lncRNA from 1 species
GACCGGGUGUUGACCACACUUGAAUAUGGAUUGAAAACCUCCAGCAACUCUUCUUCUUCAUUUCAUUCUCUCAACCCCCCCCCAUUCUCUCUUAAACUCUCAAGAACACAUAAACCCACUUUUCACAUAAAUUCGAUUUCCCGGAGUUCCACCGGUCGGAAUCCGACGAGACCACCGCCAUUCUUCACCAUUUUCCGUGCUCUACAAACCCCACCCGAAAUUUACUCCGAUCCAUUGCCGGGUUUAGGGGCGCCACCACCACCCAACUCGCCGCUUUCCGGCCAUUUUCCGGCCAACUCCGACCACCUUUCGCAAUUCCGACACCACCAAAGUGUUUCUUUUUCCAAGCUCUUUACAUCUAACCGAACAAAACCUCAAAAUCUCACCAAAAAUUUUCCCGGAAUUUUUGAGCCACCACGAGCCGCCGUCGGAUUUUUCACACAAAUAAAGUUGAAAAUUUUCCUUCAGUGAACAAGUCUUGCAAUUUGGCACCCACGAAUAACCAAAGCUUGGGGUGCACGGUAGCGGAUUCCGGGUUCAAGUUCAAUUUUGGGAUAAUUCGGGUAUUUUCUUUCCUUGGUUUUUAUUACAUUGCAUUGUUUCAAUUCGAUAAUUGCAUCCAAUUAUGCUUUGGAAAUUGCCUAGGAUCGUUAGUUGUUGCCCGGUUUAUUUGAAAACAUUGAUUUGAGAAUGGUUGAGAUUGGUUGAUUUGCUUGGAAAUUUGUUCAAAAAUUGUUUAAACUUUGGUUGGGAUUUUCUCAUUUUGUCUCAUAAUGCUGCCGAAUUUUUGUUGGAAUUGUCAAAUUAACCGAGUGGUGUUGUUGAAACCAUUUUAAAUUGUCAAAAGUUGGGUAUCAUUAUUUCUUGGAAUUUUUGUGUUCGGUUUAAAGAUAGUUGCAUUGAUUUGAGAGUGGUGAGGUGAGGGAUUACGUUGGUGAAGUUGUUUUUGAUAUUGUAGGUUUUGAAAAUGGGCAAAACCGCGGCUCGGACACGCACCCAUGGAUCAUCGAUCGAUCCUAACCCGCAAAAGGAUGUCGCCGGUCCAUCACGCAAAACAGCCGGAAAACGGAAAAAAAGAGGAGAAGAGGGAAGCGAUCCUUCCCUUACAAAUGCUGAAAUCAAAACCUAUCGCUCCAACCUUCGGGGUCGCACAAUCCGGCCGACAAAAUUCUACCAUAGAAAGUCCAUGAAAAAGCUUGGGGUGCAUGAUGGUGUAUACAAUUUGUUCCUACAACUGGGUUGGCGUGGUUUUCUUCGACUUUGUGACAGAACUUACGAGGAACCCACAAUGGAAUUUCUUAGCACAUAUGCACGAGAUGAUGAAACGAAAGUCCUCACAUUCCAGUUGAAAGGGGAGCAUCAUAGGCUCACAUACGAAGAGCUUGAUUCCAUCAUGGGUAUAGACGAUCCAUUCCGCAUCAGCUCCCAAAAUCAAGAGUACCAAGAUUUUCUGCGUUACCCGGAUGCAAACUUUUGGAUGCAAAUUUCCGGUCUCACAACCUUUAACCCAAGCCGACAGCGAGCCAAGCACAUCGUUCACCCCUGCUGGCGAAUUGCUCACCGAGUUCUCACGACAAGUAUCUUCGGGCGCCUCGAGCCCGGUCAAAUCAACAGAUGUGAGCUAUUUUUCCUCCGAAGCAUGAGGCGUGCACUCCCCCUCAGUUUUUCAGGCUUCUUUUUAGACAAAUGCGACUCCAUUCGCCAGCGUUCCUCGGGGGAAAUUUUCAUCGGGGGACUUAUCACGAUCAUAGGUCGAGCCGUCGGCCUAGACUUCCCGGCUCCCGAGUACAUACCUGUCGACACCCCACCGAACUUCCUGCUAGAUUGUGAUACUCUCAUCCGGAUGGAGAUGUUGCUCGAUCGGGGAACACGCACGUACAAUUGGUUAGACUCUGACAAAGCCCCGGUUUACAUCCUGCCAAGUUGGAUCGGUUCUUCAUUCGAUACAGACGACCCCGACACUUGGCUUCCUCCAGAUCAGUUGACCCAAGCAGGUGUAUUCCCAGAAUUCGGUGAUGAUGAGGGUGACGAUGCAGAUGAACAAGAGGAAGAAGAUGAAGAAGAGGACGAUGAGAUGCCCGAAGCUGAGGACCAUUUUGACCAGCCNGGGUUGCGCGACCCGCGUGCUGUUGCGCGGGUGGGUUGCGCGGCCAGGUGUGAUGAAGCGACAUUGGCCCAAGACUUAACUGCAAGGUCUGCGCGACCCGCGUGCUACUCUGCGCGACCCGCGCACUGUGCUGGGCAAUUUGGGCUAUUUUUGGCUAUUAUUUGACCAGGUGUUGACCAAAGGUUUUAAUGAGUUGACCUUUUGACUUUUUGUGACCAACAUUGACCGAAAUUGACCCUUUUUGACCCAUAGAUUAAAAUGUUCAGCUUCCCUUCUUCUUCAUUUAAUCAUCUUGACCUCCCACUCCAUUCCUCUCAUAUAACCUUCCAGCACCCACCUCACCGGAAAAUUCAAGAUUGUCGGAGUUCUACUGGUCGUAAUUUCACGAAACCACCGCCACAAACAUCUCCCGUCAUCCAAUCCUCCGAUUUAGGUCAUUUUUGCCCUUACCUUAAGCAUUGAGGACAAUGCUUGUUCUUAAGCUUGGGGUGGGGCAUUUCAUUUUCCUUUUAUAUUUUUUUUUCAUGCAUUUUUAAUUAGGUUGCAUAACAUUUUAGUUUUAAGCUAAUUUUCAUUCAUUUUUUUAUUUUUUUUUAAAUCCAAAAAGAUUUUAUUCUUUUUCUUUUUCACCUUUUAUAUUUUUGCAUAACAUUUAGCUUAGGCAUUAACAUUCAUGCAUUUUUGUUGUCUGUUUAUUCUCACCCCCUGGAUGCCAUGGAAUAGGUUCACAGUUAUUGUAUCAUUAUUGAUCCAGGAUCUUGUUGUUAUCUCAUCCAUCGAACGGGGACCAUUAGCCGCAGUUUGGGAUCUCAUACUUGGGAUCAGAUGUUGGUAGCUUAAAGGGGUAAGUGAUCAUGGACAGGUAGUUUUCAUGAAGAAUUAUGCAUACAAUACUAAUGACUGUAGGAUAUACUAUAGCAAUGGAUGUCUUAGCCUUGCGGUCACUACCGCCGAGAGGAUCACACUUGAUCAUGUUUGAACCGUUAGGAUGAAGCACUAGUGCUACAACGUUCAUGAGUGCUCCUGAAAUAAGAUUUGAGUAUUGGAUUAAACCCAUGCUCCCCUGAAUCACUUCAUGGAAUUUAUCAUGAGUGAUUGUGAGACAAUAAUAUCAUAUAGUCUUCAAACUAAGAUAUAUGGGUUGUUGACUACGAGUUGCUUGUGCAUUGAUGAUACGUAAACGCAUCAGUAACUUGAUGUUAUAAAACGUAUCGUUGUGCAUGAUUUAAUGAGUAGUUAGUACAAGCAUAUAAUGUCGAAGUUUAUCUGUUACUUUAUCCUAAGAGGAUUAAAAGCGAUAUCUUAGGCCCCUCGAUGAUUUGUUUUGACUUAUGUGUCGGGCCCGAUCAGAACUAAAUUGAUGUGUUCAGUUAUGUUCUAUGUCAAGCGAAUCGGAAAUCGGGAAACAAACUGUAGGGCAAUAAGUAUGACUAUGUUCCAUUUAUUUGUCUGCAUGAUAUCUUGAAGAUCAGAGGAGUAUAUGAUCCCUUAUCCAAAGGACGCGUGACUGACUAGGUCAGACUUCGAUAGCGGCUUUUGAAAGUUAUGAUUGCUAAUCGGAUCCUGAAGUUGCAUUGGUAGUUAUAGCUAUUAGGUUUAUCCAUGUGGGACACUACUGGAUUAGGUGUAUAAGCCCAUAACUAUAACUGGGAUGUACUUCACCCGAUAGUAACAUGGUCCUUUUGGGUUGCCUUCACCAGUGCAAUUUAUAUAUUAAUUGAGAAAUCAUAUUAUUUAACUAGUAUUGAUCAAGAAAUAAUUUGGAAUUGAUUUAGUGAUCAAAAGAGACUAAUUAAGUAUACGGGGACUGAUUAAGUAAAUCAGUGAUUCUUUUAGUGUGAGCCAAAGAUCCAUGGUUAAUUAGGAUGCGCUAAACCAACAUGGAUAGUCCAUGGAGGUUUAACCCAUGGAUCCUAAGUAAUGUGAAGGGUCAUGGUGCAUUAGGGAUUGCAUGGAUGUAACCCUAGCAUUUGCAACACUAUAAAUGAACACUCCUAGAGCCAAAAUCGGUUACACCAUUCAUUUUAAGAGAGUGAUAUUGAUUUUGUGCUAACUAGCUAAUUCUCUCAAGUCUCCUCUUGAAUUUGGUUUUUGUGACACCUUAGAGGCAUCACACUUGAGGUGCUAAAGUUUUCAAAGGCCAAGAACUACAACUACAUCAAGAGGUAUUCAUCUAACUAUGAGUCUUGUAUUGUAUAUCCUCCAUUGUAUGCUAGUUAGGAUGUGUGCUUUGGAAAAUUGAAAAUGCAUGUAUAAUUAGAGAAAACAUAGAUCCAAAGCAUCUAGGGUUGUAUGUGCACCGUAGGAGUGUUAUAGUGCUUAAAACCCAACAAUAAUAACAACACAUAAUCAAGUAAGGGUAUUUUGGGAAAUCACCGCUCGGGCUGUGGCUGAUUGUACACACCGCUUCGGAUCCACUUUCAAAACUCUUUAAUCUCUUUGCAAAAAUCGUGUGAUGAAAAAUCAUUCUCAUUUGAAAAGUUAUCAACUCCUUAGUUUGAGUCCAGACAUACUCGAAGGUACAGUCGAAUCCCUCAAACCAAGGCUCUGAUACCAAAUUGUAACGCUUCAAAAUUCAAGGCAAAAUUUUCAUUUUUAAUUCUCAAAAUAUUACUUAUAAAUUCAAGUCAUCACAUAAAUUGUAAGUUAUUAUCAAAACAAUAUCAGUGUAUCCCAAAAUCUUCCAAUCUCCAUAAGCCGGCGGAUGUGUACAAUCAUGCCUUCGCUUUCCGGGAAUCAACAGAAGUACCUAAAACACAUUUAACUCAACACAGUAAGCACGAAGCUUAGUGAGUUUUCCAAGAUAUCACAUACACAAAUAAUAAGCCUCUCAUGGCUAUAUAUUGGCAUGGACCCUCCGGUCAUGCAUCUCAGUGAAGGUCCUCCGGUCUCACGGCUCGGUAUGGACCCUCCGGUCAUGUGUCUUAGUGAAGACCGUCCAGUCUCACAACUAAAUUUGGACCCUCUAGUCCUAACUCAAUAAAUGCACAGAAUAAUAUACAACAUAAACCACAAAGACAAAAUGCAUAAUAUCACAUAACUCGGUAUCAGCACAUAAGGCCCUCCAGUCGAUAACACAUAUAAGACCCUCCCGUUGCACAUUAAUUUCCACUCGGGUAAGUAUAAUGAGAAGACUCACCUCGCAAUUUAAAGCAAGAAUAUCCCACACUCGAACUGCUGGUCUAGACUCCGCCUAACAUAUUUCACAUAUAUCUCUAAUAAUCUUAGAAAUGGGAAAAGACUAUUUUACCCCUCCAUGGCCUCCAAAGUUCACAACUAGACCAAAACCGUAAGUCAAUGGAAGUUAACACUCAAGUCAACAGUCCAUGUUGACUCNNNNNNNNNNNNNNNNNNNNNNNNNNNNNNNNNNNNNNNNNNNNNNNNNNNNNNNNNNNNNNNNNNNNNNNNNNNNNNNNNNNNNNNNNNNNNNNNNNNNUUGGGGCCUUCCGAAUCAAGAACUAGUGAAGAAACGGAAGAAAAUAGAGAAAAAUCGAUUUCCGGAGCAAGGAUCUGCGCGACCCGCGCACGGGUGCGCGGCUGGUGUGCGCGGCCGGUCUUCAACUCGCGACAAAAAUCGGAUUCCUAACUGCAUGAUCCGCGCGACCCGCGCACGGGUGCGCGGCUGGUGUGCGCGGCCGACCUUUAACUUGCGACAUAAAAAUGGGACUAACUGCAUAGGUUGCGCGACCCGCGUGCCCCCUCUGCGCGACCCGCGUGCUUCUUGACGGCUAGCCCUUAUUUUGUUGACCAACUUUGACUUUCGUUGACCAAGUGGUUUAAUGAGUUGACCAACAUUGACCGGGUGUUGACCACACUUGAAUAUGGAUUGAAAACCUCCAGCAACUCUUCUUCUUCAUUUCAUUCUCUCAAACCCCCACCAUUCUCUCUUAAACUCUCAAGAACACAUAAACCCACUUUUCACUAAAAAUCGAUUUCCCGGAGUUCCACCGGUCGGAAUCCGACGAGACCCCCGCCAUUCUUCACCAUUUUCCGUGCUCUACAAACCCCACCCGAAAUUUACUCCGAUCCAUUGCCGGGUUUAGGGGCGCCACCACCACCCAACUCGCCGCUUUCCGACCAUUUUCCGGCCAACUCUGACCACCUUUCGCAAUUCCGACACCACCAAAGUGUUUCCUUUUCCAAGCUCUUUACAUCUAACCGAACAAAACCUCAAAAUCUCACCAAAAAUUUUCCCGGAA